rnacentral:lncRNA from 10 species
UCUCCUACCAUCCACAGUCAUUGUUACUGCAAGAGAAGAGAAGAUUGGCCUCAGACACUUCCGUCUUCAGACCUGUGCCUCUCCUUUGAGGAUCCCUUCCCCGAAGCUGCCAAGGAGAACCUUCCCUCACAUUGUUCCUCCUUUGUUCCCCGCUCUCCUUUUCCAGGCUGAGAGACCUGGGGCCUUGGAAGCAAGCACACGCUGGCUGAGCUGUGAUUCCUCCAUGUUGAUUAUAAUUUUUAUCACAUUAUAUGGGAUCCCUCUGGUGGUUACUAGGGGAUACGUCAGUUUUGAGAGAUUGGAACCUAACCAAAGAAGCUUCAAAUCUAGAGGAUAAGGGGACUCAGAGUUUACAAGUCACAGCAAGCAGAUGCUGGUCUGCUUUAGGUGCCUCUUACGGGGAUUGUGAGAGGGCUCCUGGGGCCUGAGGAGGGUCUUCUGAGGUGUGAAAGGCUGUACUGGUGGUCCCUGAAAGCCAUCGUCAUUUGUGUGAGGAGGAGUACUGGAGGAGCUGUCUUACCACAUGAAAAACAGCAUGGAGCAUCCCAGCCACAUCAAAGGCACGGUUUGAGCCUUGGGCUGUAGAGGCUCAGAGAGAGUGACAAAUAAGACCCUGGUGAGAGACCAAUGGGGACAGUAUUUCCAGACUUUGGCAUGAAACAGAUUUCUGAGCACCUCAUGAAAUGUCUGCAAGGGCAGCUCCUCAGAGUGACCCUCCCAAAUCAAUCAAAGCUGGCCCCCUAUCUUAAUUAUGACUUACAAAUAGAAGCAUGCACCUGGCUGGAUGCAGUUUGCCACAUGGUUUACAAUAGCGGUAGAAUAAGAAAUAACUUACCAAACGAGUACAUUUUCUUGGCUGGCUGGGGCACUCAGAGUUGACACUGGUAAGGCUCCAUUAAAAUGCCUUUAUGUUCUGAUAUACACAGAUGUGUUAAUUUAUAGCAUAUUCAUCAGAAGACAUAAAUUAAUUGCUCUCUGAUGAAUUUUAUAACACCUCCUUUAUGCCUCUCCACCCUCCCCCUCCAAAGUACACUGAAAAGGUCAACAGCACUAUCGAAUGCAGCACACUUCAACUUCCUUCCAAGCUUAUAAUUAAAGCUAAUUAGUAGCUUUGGUAAUUAGCGCAUGUAAGCUUUCUGCUUUCUGAAUUAAUAAGACUGAGUCAGGUUUUGAGCCAAGUAGACUUUUCACUCACUGGUUCUGAUUCUUGAACUGUGUUUGGCUGGUUAAUUUAAAACAUGUCUGUUGAAAGUGGAAUACUAGAAAGAAAACAUACUUGUGAUGGUCUGCUCUCAAGCCAGUGUGAUUUAUGAACAGGCCAAAGUGGAACUGUUGUCACAAGAGAAAAUCAGAAUGCUCUGGGUUUCCAAUAACUGACCAGUCUCAACCUCUCAGUGUGAAAUGAGUUGUGCCCAGUUACUAUGUCACAUGGACACAACACAACGUCAAGGAUGCCCUUGCACACUUAUGUCACCCUCUCAUAACACAUCUGUACUAAGCACAUCAAAUCCUCUUUAUUUUAGGAGAAUGCAGAGGCAAUGGCAGUGGGGUGCCAAGAUAUAACUAACUGCUCAUUUUGAUUCAAAUAAAAAUCAAAGAGGAGAAAAAUCAUUAGUCAAAUCAGCUUCUGCUUUUGUGUAGACAAAGUGAUUCUCCAAAUAGCUUCGUGUUUCUUUUUUUAGCCAGCAUGUGGGCAUCCUGCAUGCCCAGACAGAAUUAAAAGUGCAUGUUUUAAAAUCAAGAAAUCAAAUCUAUAUUCUAUUAAAAGAAAAAAUGUGAUUUGUUUUCAGACUUUAGAAACAGUUGGGAUAAAAAUUUCCACGGGUGAGCUCAUUUGCUUUUUCUUUUCCCAUACUAAUCUCAGAAAAUUUAUUUUUGUUUUUUAAAGAAAGAAAGGAAGGAAGAAAAAGAAAAUCACUUAGUGAUUUACUGGACUCCUUAUAAGUCCAGGACAAUGGUGGGGGUUGCUCACAGCGCUAGUAAUUUUGAUACAUAAAGAAAAGGAAACAGUCACUGCUGCAGAGAGAGGAAUAUAUAAGACAGCUCUGGGUCACUAGAGUAAAUGGUUUUCAUUUUAAUGGCGCACUUACUGCCACUGUGAUAGCCACAUUUGGAUCUGUAAGGGGCAGUUAAUACUAUUCAAGAGCAAGGCACAUUUGGUCUUGUGGAUGGCUGUGAUUGUGAAGGUGACAAGGGGUUAUGGAUUCCCACAGCCUCACAGGCCCAGCUGAAUAGGAAGCCUUGUGCCCCCUUGGCAGCUCAUCCUACCCCGUGGCAGCUCAUCCUACCUAGGUGGAUACACUCCAGUAAGAUCUAUACACAGUGGUUCUCAACUGGGGGAGAUUCUGCCCCCAGGGGAUACUUGGCAAUGUUUGGCACAGUUUUGAUUGUCAUAACUGGUGGGAGAGGGUAGAUGCUACUGGCAUCUAGUGAGCAGAGACUAGGAAUGUUGCCAAACGAUCAGCCAUGCACACGACAGUCACUCCUCAACAAAGAUGAUCUGGCCCCACAGGAUACUAGUGCCAAUGUCAUGGAACCCUGAUACAGAAGGUCUAAACAGGGUCUGAGGCCCUCCUUGUCUUUGAGGAAGAGUUAAAUGUUAGCUUUCCAGAUUGACUCUGGACUGAUCUUGGCCUUAUACAAGUCAGAAAGAAGUGAGUGAUAGCUCACCCACAGGGGCUAGAUCUGAGUCAGACUGGAAGAAGUCGGCACACUCAGGGUAACGGCAGCUGCCUAAAAGCCAAGCGCUGGGCAUUUUUAUGUUGCAGCUAAGGCCAGCAUGCUGCAUUAUGGAUGAGCUCAUGUGCCAUGGCAAACAGUUUAAGAACGAUGCUUAUAUUUAAUGAAUCCUAAAUGGUUUAUUACAGAGGGUCAAGUUUCUGCUUCCUGUGGGAAUUUGACAUUUAUGAAAAUGCACGCACAUUAAUUAUUCAGUGGAGACGUCCUUCCUAUGGAAAUUCACUUUCCUGUACACUCGACAGGACUACAUUCCCUGUCUGCAUGGGCUACUUUGUUGUUAAUCCUCUAAGCAUUAAUUAAAUAAAAUUUGCAACCGAGCCAGGAUGCAUCUACCCUCAAAUGUUAUGCAAAAGACAGUUAAAUGCUGUUUGAUUUUUCCUGCUAGUAGCCAAUCAUUACCCAUAGCUAUUUAUGUUCUUCCUUUUGUUCUUUAAAGCAUAAACCUGGUAUCUCUUCCCACUGAGAAGAAAACUACGCUCAGUAAUUAAAUUACACCACAUUAAACUUACUUAAGUUCACCAGCAGGGAAAAUUCCGUGCCCCUGGGUUUAACAGUAAGUCCUAAUCACGCUUGCAAGCCAUAUCUUUUCUGUGAGUUGUUAUAGUUUUCAUUCCUGGAAUUCCAUUAAAAAUGGUAAUGUCAUUACUCCUGUUACUGCUCAAAACCAACAGCAUAAUCCUGAAUUUUAAUUAGUAAUUACAAUUAAUCAUUAUUUCAUUAAUGAAAUGUUUAGUUGGUAAUUGUCUUUGAGCACCUUACUCCCUAGGCUUAUAAGCAUUUCAUAACAUCUAAUUUGUUGCCUGUUUCUGAUGAAGUGGCACUGUCAACCUUAUUUUAUGUUAACACUUUGAUGGGGCUCUGCAUCCCAGGCCUGCACCACCGGCUGCAUAUUUACACCUUGGAAAUGUGUGGCUUCUGGCUCUCGAUAAGGUUCGCCUGAGGACGUACCCUCGCAUUCUUUCCUGCCAGCUUAAGAAGGCGACUGUUUGUGCUCCCAGAGAGCACAGCAUGUGAAGAGAGAAAUAAUAAUUCCUGGAACGCUUACUUAAUAAUAAAUCUGGGAUCCAAAUUCAUGGAUUUUUGAGAGGGGAUAGAGCAAGGAUUUGGAGGUAGUCUUUGGAACAGGAAGGUUGAUUUUAAAAGAGCUUAAAGAAUUAAGAAUAAGCUGGGAGGGUUGUCAAGAAUUUAACACGAGGCAAGAUUUUUGUUGAUCCUUUUGCAAUAGCAAAGAUAUUCUUAUUUAUUAGGAUGGUUUUUUAGGGGUGAGGGGAAGCUUGUCUUCCCCACCAAAAGGUCAGGGACCCAAGUAUGCCUUGCACACAGUUGUAUUCCUAGCUCCUGGUGCGGGGUUGGGCAUACACGUGACUCAAUAAACAGCUAGAUAAGUCAUUGUUCCUGCAUGGCCUAUGGUUAGGCUAUGAAGGGGGUAACUGAGGUACAAGAGUUAAUGGUGGUUUGGUGAUGGUAGCAGGGUGUGGGAUGCUAGGAGAUGCCAAAUCAGUGGGCUGGUGUGCUCACAAAUGACCUGAUGUCAUAGUUGUCUGUCACUGACAAUUCUAAAAGGACGGAUUCAUCCGACUGCCCUCUAUGUAAAAAAAUUUACACAUACACACACACACACACACACACACACACACCCGACGGUGAAUUAUUCAGGGAGGAGAAAGCCUGCUAUCCUUGGCAAAUUAAACAAGGAGGAUUUGAGCAAAGAAAAGAUGUGCUGCUGUUAUUUCAAGGAAGUAUUCACAGCUUCAGAAUUAAAACUGAGAUGGAACAACAUCAGACUUGUUGGAAAAUGCUCCGCGUCUGUGGUGUAUUUCAGACAAGUUAGUCAGAAAAUUCAAAAUAUCUGGAAGAAAUAAAUGACGGCCAACAGUUUGGUGUUGGCCACCAGGUGCCAGAGCACGUAUGGUCUUGGCCUAAGGUGAGUGAAAGACAGGUUUCUGGGUCAAGACAGGUGUUUCCAAAUGGCAAUUUUUGAGGCUGCUGACAUUUUACAAAAUAAAAGAAUGUGAUAAAGCUUAAGUUUUUGGUUGUAUUUUAUAAAUGUCUAUAUUUAAGAAGUUCAUGCUUUAGCACACAUAAGACAUUCAACAAGUCAUUUGGAAAUAACAUCAAAUGUCGAAAUUUGAGACCCU